ensembl:snoRNA
AGGAUCGAUGAUGACUGCUGGUGGCCCAUGAACUGGAUAGAUGAAUAUGUAUCUGCAACUCAGAGGUUCAG